rnacentral:rRNA from 1 species
UACGAAGGGGGCUAGCGUUGCUCGGAAUUACUGGGCGUAAAGCGCACGUAGGCGGCUUUCUAAGUCGGAGGUGAAAUCCUGGAGCUCAACUCCAGAACUGCCUUCGAUACUGGAGAGCUUGAGUCCGGGAGAGGUGAGUGGAACUGCGAGUGUAGAGGUGAAAUUCGUAGAUAUUCGCAAGCACACCAGUGGCGAAGGCGGCUCACUGGCCCGGUACUGACGCUGAGGUGCGAAAGCGUGGGGAGCAAACAGG